rnacentral:tRNA from 1 species
GCCCCGGUGGUGAAAUUGGUAAACACAGCGGAUUUAAAAUCCGCCGCCGUAUGGCUUGCCGGUUCGAGUCCGGCUCGGGGCACCA